rnacentral:rRNA from 1 species
UACAGAGGGUGCGAGCGUUAAUCGGAAUUACUGGGCGUAAAGCGCACGUAGGCGGCUUGGUAUGUCGGGUGUGAAAUCCCCGGGCUCAACCUGGGAACUGCAUCCGAAACUGCCCUGCUCGAGUAUGGGAGAGGGAAGUGGAAUUUCCGGUGUAGCGGUGAAAUGCGUAGAUAUCGGAAGGAACAUCAGUGGCGAAGGCGACUUCCUGGACCAAUACUGACGCUCAGGUGCGAAAGCGUGGGGAGCAAACAGG